UAGGGAAUCUUCCACAAUGGACACAAGUCUGAUGGAGCAACGCCGCGUGAGUGAAGAAGGUCUUCGGAUCGUAAAACUCUGUUGUUAGAGAAGAACACGAGUGAGAGUAACUGUUCAUUCGAUGACGGUAUCUAACCAGCAAGUCACGGCUAACUACGUGCCAG
rnacentral:rRNA from 1 species